rnacentral:rRNA from 1 species
UACGUAGGGUGCGAGCGUUAAUCGGAAUUACUGGGCGUAAAGCGUGCGCAGGCGGUUUGUUAAGUCUGUUGUGAAAUCCCCGAGCUCAACUUGGGAAUUGCAAUGGAUACUGGCAGGCUGGAGUAUGGUAGAGGAAGGUGGAAUUCCCGGUGUAGCAGUGAAAUGCGUAGAGAUCGGGAGGAACACCAGUGGCGAAGGCGGCCUUCUGGACCAAUACUGACGCUCAUGCACGAAAGCGUGGGGAGCAAACAGG